CUCGACUCUUAGUUGUCGGGAACGGUAACCGGGACCCGGUGUCUGCUUCUAUCACCCUCGCCUUCUAACCCGUAGCUAUCAUGCGUGAGUGCAUCUCCAUCCACGUCGGCCAGGCUGGUGUCCAGAUCGGCAAUGCCUGCUGGGAGCUCUACUGCCUGGAACAUGGCAUCCAGCCUGAUGGCCAGAUGCCAAGCGACAAGACCAUUGGGGGAGGAGAUGACUCCUUCAACACCUUCUUCAGUGAGACAGGAGCUGGCAAGCACGUGCCCCGGGCGGUGUUCGUAGACCUGGAACCCACAGUUAUUGGUAAGU
rnacentral:lncRNA from 1 species